AACGAACGCUGGCGGCAUGCCUAACACAUGCAAGUCGAACGAGACCUUCGGGUCUAGUGGCGCACGGGUGCGUAACGCGUGGGAAUCUGCCCUUAGGUACGGGAUAACACAGGGAAACUUGUGCUAAUACCGUAUGAUGACGAAAGUCCAAAGAUUUAUCGCCUAAGGAUGAGCCCGCGUAGGAUUAGCUUGUUGGUGAGGUAAAGGCUCACCAAGGCGACGAUCCUUAGCUGGUCUGAGAGGAUGAUCAGCCACACUGGGACUGAGACACGGCCCAGACUCCUACGGGAGGCAGCAGUGGGGAAUAUUGGACAAUGGGCGAAAGCCUGAUCCAGCAAUGCCGCGUGAGUGAUGAAGGCCCUAGGGUUGUAAAGCUCUUUUACCCGGGAAGAUAAUGACUGUACCGGGAGAAUAAGCCCCGGCUAACUCCGUGCCAGCAGCCGCGGUAAUACGGAGGGGGCUAGCGUUGUUCGGAAUUACUGGGCGUAAAGGGUGCGUAGGCGGCUCUAUAAGUAUGGUGUGAAAUCUCCCGGCUUAACUGGGAGGGUGCGCUAUAGACUGUGGGGCUAGAGUGUGGGAGAGGAAAGUGGAAUUCCUGGUGUAGCGGUGAAAUGCGUAGAUAUCAGGAGGAACACCGGUGGUGUAAACGGCUUUCUGGACCAUAACUGACGCUGAGGCACGAAAGCGUGGGUAGCAAACAGGAUUAGAUACCCUGGUAGUCCACGCCGUAAACGAUGAUAACUAGCUGUCUGGGCUCUUGGAGCUUAGUGGCGCAGCUAACGCAUUAAGUUAUCCGCCUGGGGAGUACGGCGCAAGGUUAAA
rnacentral:rRNA from 1 species